rnacentral:tmRNA from 1 species
UUUGGCUUUCGACGGGGAUAUGUUGUGUUACAGAAGCGAGUCGAUGGUUUCCUGGACCAGCGUUAAAAAACUGGGAACUUAAAGAUAAACGCAGAAGACAAUUUUGCAUUAGCAGCCUAGUAGCUGCUCGUCCUACCUAUGAGUCCCACGGCUUAGGAUAGGGCGUCAUUUAGUGGGGAACCGAGUCUUGGAAAGCUUUGACCAAGGAACGGAAUUUAUGAAGCUACUGAAAUCUCAAUCCUGUCAGUAGGAGUGAGAUAGAGGGAAUGUGAAAUUACUGACUGCACUCGGAGAUGCUGUAGCAUUGCUGUUUUCGGACAGGGGUUCGAUUCA